GUGGGGAAUAUUGGACAAUGGGCGAAAGCCUGAUCCAGCCAUGCCGCGUGUGUGAAGAAGGUCUUCGGAUUGUAAAGCACUUUAAGUUGGGAGGAAGGGCAGUAAGUUAAUACCUUGCUGUUUUGACGUUACCGACAGAAUAAGCACCGGCUAACUUCGUGCCAGCAGCCGCGGUAAUACGAAGGGUGCAAGCGUUAAUCGGAAUUACUGGGCGUAAAGCGCGCGUAGGUGGUUCAGCAAGUUGGAGGUGAAAUCCCCGGGCUCAACCUGGGAACUGCAUCCAAAACUACUGGGCUAGAGUACGGUAGAGGGUAGUGGAAUUUCCUGUGUAGCGGUGAAAUGCGUAGAUAUAGGAAGGAACACCAGUGGCGAAGGCGACUACCUGGACUGAUACUGACACUGAGGUGCGAAAGCGUGGGGAGCAAACAGGAUUAGAUACCCUUGUAGUCC
rnacentral:rRNA from 1 species